GACGAACGCUGGCGGCGUGCUUAACACAUGCAAGUCGAACGAAAAGAGGGAAAGAGCUUGCUCUUUCCGGAAUUGAGUGGCAAACGGGUGAGUAACACGUAAACAACCUGCCUUCAGGAUGGGGACAACAGACGGAAACGACUGCUAAUACCGAAUAAGUUCCAAGGGCCGCAUGGCCCAUGGAAGAAAAGGUGGCCUCUACCUGUAAGCUAUCGCCUGAAGAGGGGUUUGCGUCUGAUUAGCUGGUUGGAGGGGUAACGGCCCACCAAGGCGACGAUCAGUAGCCGGUCUGAGAGGAUGAACGGCCACACUGGAACUGAGACACGGUCCAGACACCUACGGGAGGCAGCAGUGGGGAAUCUUCCGCAAUGGGCGAAAGCCUGACGGAGCAACGCCGCGUGAGUGAUGACGGCCUUCGGGUUGUAAAACUCUGUGAUCCGGGACGAAAAGGCAGAGUGCGAAGAACAAACUGCAUUGACGGUACCGGAAAAGCAAGCCACGGCUAACUACGUG
rnacentral:rRNA from 1 species